rnacentral:rRNA from 1 species
CUUGGAACAAAGCGUUGAAGAUCUGGAGACAGAAAACAGCGCACUGCGAAAAUCCAAAGAAAGCCAGGUUGCCGAGGAUCAGCGGCACUUUGAAAGCAUGAAG